AAACUUUGCAAUGUGCGAAAGNGUCGACAAGGUUAAUCCGAGUGAUUUGUGCUAAACGAAUCUUUUGUUAGUCCUAGAAUCCACUAACGAAUAAGGGGUGGGCA
rnacentral:rRNA from 1 species